rnacentral:misc_RNA from 1 species
GUUGACGUCGAGGAAGAACACCCGGGGCUUGCUGGUCUUCGAUGGGGAGCCGUCCCUGCCCGACAGGUGCUCGCGGGAAUGCCCCGCUGGUGACGCGCUGGAUAUAGCCGAGCUGGACGUAGAGGGAGAAGAAGGGGUAGUGCUGGCUCGACUCGCGACGAGGCGGAGCGGACGAAACCUUAUGGGCGCCGCUACCCCUGCGGCGGUGGCCGGCGACGCGGCGACCGCCCCCACGCCCACGGUGGGCAGUGGCAACAUCACUGGUACACGGACGCUGCGGCUGGGGUUUGUGGAUAGAAGCG